CGGUACACGACUCGCGCAACAGCCAAACCCGAGGGCCAUCUUCUCGGAUUUUACACUGCGUACCGGUACACGAAAUCCUGUCACCGGUACACAGCUCUUUUUUCAGGACUUAGCCAAUUUUUCAGCAUUUUCACCGUUUUCGCUCCGUUUUCGCUCGUUUUCGCUCGUUUGACAUCCGAUUCGUUUCAAAUCGAACCGAAACUCUCCAAAUAUGUUUUCAAGCAUGUUUUCAUCAUCUUUUCAUCCACGCUAAUGCUGGAUUUAGUCCAUGGUCCAACAUAGCCUUUCGGGUUCCGUUUUCGCACCUACGCGCACCGAAACGCCCGAUUGCUCCAGAACUUUACCGAACUCCACCGGGACCAUUCAAAUGGCUUUUCAACCAAAUGUACACCGUAACUUAAAACUUUUAGAAGUUCGGUAUGUUACAAAUACUUACCAUUCAACUAAGAUUCAAAUAUAACUAUUGAAACAUCAAACAAUAUUCCACCUUACUUAAUAUUUCAAAUUAUAUUAAGUAAUCAUUGAGAAAUAUUUCAAAUUAUUUUCAAAAAAUCAUUCAGAACUUUGUUUUGCUCCAAAAUAUUUCAAAUUAUAUCAUAUAACACCAGAGAAUAAAAUUCAAAAAUUCCAAACACAUCUAUCCAAAAAAAAAAAGGGGGUAAGAUCAAAACUUUCAAACAUUAUUAGAUGGUCAUCGUAAAACACAGCAUCAUGCAUUGCAUGUUAGUGUGGAUCAAAAGCAAUAAAACACAUUCAAAAGAGACGAGCGAAGGAGAAGAAUUUUGGUCAAACUAUUUUUUAUCUCUGAUCUCGGUGGUCUCAUGACUCCUCCCACUGGUUCCUAAAACUACACAACUCCCUCUGUAUAGGUUUGUUUUACUUCUGUGCCUAUGUAGAUUUUUCACUACGCUUUACCAAUUUUGUUUUAAGUGCAUUACAUGGGGAUAGCUCCAUAUUAUUCUUCAGCACACAAAAAAAAAAAAAGUUUGGUUAUCGACUUCAAGUACAUAAAAGAGCCUUCACGGAAACUUUUUGCUCUUUUCUUCUCUUCAGGAAUAAGAGAGUGGUCAUCAAGUUUAGCAUUCCCUUUCAAAAUGUAAAUAAACAGUUCAUUUAUUAUAUCAUUAUUGCACCUAAUGUAUUGUAUACUCUUAAGCCAUGACAAGGCAUCAUUUUCAAAAGCACCGAUUAGUUAAAUCCUAUUCCAAGAAACACACUCCCACUCUCAUUCGAAUUGCCACAUCCGAGUUAUAUUUACCACAAUCCUAAGGCCAUUGUCUCACUUUUAAUUAUGCCACUACCCGUGCUUCUUGAAAUUUUUCAUAAUUAUAGUAGUUUUAUACAUGUAAAAGAAAAGUUAGAAAUAAGGAACUAUUUUGGCAGAGACAUAUAAGUGAAAAUAAAAAACAAUCAAUUUCAACAAAAAGAGGUUGCUAAGAUAGCAUACCACAGGCCAAUCGUCCACCAGCAUUUCCAGUCGUAAGGCUAAGCUCAUGGCCCCCUGUGACAAGAGGCGUCCAAAGAACAAAACUUCAAAUAAGAACUCAAUAAAAAUGGACAAUGUGAACUAUGUAAUUAAAACAGAUGUAUGCUUUUCCCGAGAUCAUCCUCAAGCUCGUGAACCACAAAGGCUCUUCCAACAACUAAAUUUGGUUCACUCAAAGGAAUCUAAGGUUUAAAAUGAAUAACAAACAAUCUUCCUUUCUAGAAAUAAAAUUGAUAAGAUUGAGCAAGCCAUUGAACAAAACUUCAUUAGAGAACUUCUACUUAAGGAGGAUGGCAGUGGACCGUCAGAUCACAUUUUAUUCGCUUUGAGAUUCGCAUAAAUCAUUAUCUAGCAAUUCACACAGAGUGACAGAGCCCUCCUCACUAAGAGCUCGGAGCUCCACACCACAAUGAACUAACUUCUGCUUUAAUAUAUACAAAAAUUAAAAAAUAAAAAUAUCACAUAUCAAAAGCAAGAAAUAAAUAUAUUAAGCUAAUGCAAAUGUAUACUCACACGAUCAUAGAAACAUGUAAUCGCAACAACAACAACAAAAAUAAUGAUGAUGAUGAUGAUAAUGUUUGAAGUUAAUAAUAAAAUGAAUUGAAUUAAACCUUAAACGAGGGCGUAGAGGUCGGGGGCAAAGGAGAACCAGCGGAAGCCGCAGCUCCACUUAUCGCGGAGGAGCGGGCAGCGUAGGAGCCAGUGCCACGUGGCGCGGCCGACGCGGAAGAGCAGCACCCGUCUCACUCCUCAGAACCCUCGCCUUCUCCGCCGUCAACCUCCCCCUCUCCCUCUCCGCCGCCACCUCCUCCGCCGCCACCUCCUCCGCCGCCGCCGCAGCGCCGUCGCCGCAGCACCGCCGCCUCCUCCGGCCACGUCGCCGACGAUCGGCCGAAACAGCGGCGACCACACGAAGAUCGCCUCCUCGGCUCCGGCGACGGCGACGGCAACGGAUUCGCCGUGGCGGCGAUCGGGGCGGGGCGGCUAGAGCGGCGGAGCGCCGCCGCGCGGAGGGGAGCGGCGGAAGGGAGGAGAGGGACGCCAUGGAUAGGAUCUGAGAAUUAGGGCUUGGAUUCGAUCAGAUCGGAGGGAUUAGAGGAGGUGGAUAUUAGGGUUUGGAUCGGAUCUGAUCGAAUCGGAGGGAGUAGAUGAUGGAGAGAGAGAGGGAGAGAGAGAGAGAAAGAGAGAGAGAGAUGAAGAGCUCAGAGAUGGAGAUCGAUCGAGCUCGAAGCUCACGGUGCGUGGAGAUGGAGCUCGAAGCUCGGAUUUGAAAAAAAGAAAAAGGAAAGGUAGAGAACGGUCGUUUCUUUUGAAUUUUAUAAUUUGAUUGUAUAUGCUUCCUAUAUAUUGGUAGAGAGAGAGAGAGAGAAAGAGCUCAGAAUCUAAUUAAUUAGUGUGUAACUCCUACCAACAAUUGGGCCCAAUGCUCUCGUGAUCAAGACUAGGAUCAGAUGGAGGUCCCUUGCUUUUCAAACUUAAUGUUGGCCCAAGUAUUGACCCAAUUGAUAAAAUAAGCUAAUAAAAUAGGGCCCAAUAUUAUUUAUAUAGUUAAAAAUUAGUAACAACUAUACCAGCGGUUUACUAAAUGUUACUGAAAAAAUAAAAAACACUGGUAUAAUAUAGUUUUAGCAGCAGUUAGCUUAACUGCUGGCUAAAAAACCGCUAGAACAAACCAUAUUUGUUGUAGUGACCACAGGUAGUUCUUUUAUCCUAAUUAUGUUGUAUACUUUGUGAUAUUAGUAAAAAUUUUUAUAUCAAUAUUUGUAUUCUCUUUCUGUUCAUACUCUCUCUUUUUAAUUUAGUUCAAAAUGAUAUCUCUUUUAUAUAUUAUGUCUCUUAAGACUCUUUUUGUCAAGUGUAAUUAGAAAUUUCGUCUCAAAUGCAACUUAAAAAUGCUUGUAUAUUUAUCUAAUUUUGCCGAUUCGACUAGCAUUUGCAACCAUGUAGUUCCAAUAACUACAAUAUAUCUAAAGAUGACAUUUUCAAGUCUAAAGCAAUAGUAAAGAAAGAAAGUAGCAUAACUAAGAAAAUAAACUUGCAUAUUUAUAAUAUUCAAACAUAAUGUUGACUAACUAUAUUAGACAAUUUUGUUACAGGCACAUCGAGCUAAAGAUAUUGUGAAGAAUUUUCUUAUCCCAUCAGAUGCUCAGGUUAUCUUCUAGAUUUUUUCAUUAUUGCUCUUUUUGUUGUUUUUAUAUAUUUCUUUUAUCAAAACAUAUGAAAUAUUUGAUUUGUUUCUUUGUUGAUUGAAGGGUGGAAAUGAAGUAUACUUGAAAAGUUUAAAAAAACCUCAUGGUAACGUGGCACGAGGUUACAUAUUAAGUAAGGAUCCCAUGACGAAAGUUGGAGGAGUCGAGUUAGGACCACAAUAUUGGGAGGUUCAAAUAGACGUAGCAAUACUUCACAAUGAGCCAUUAUUAAGACCUUAUGGAAAUUAUUUGACCAUUGGAGAUGCCGUAGGUGUAACGGUGGCUUGGCCAUAUACCUAUGUAUGCACAAAAUACUAAUUUUUCUUUUAAAUUUUCUUACUAUAUUUUAUAACUUUGCAAAUCAAAUUUUAAUUUUGUAUACUCUUUUGUACAGGUUAAGCGCAAGUAAAGCUGAAUGCACAUGAGAAGUUCAAAUUGAAGAAAUGUUCGUGAAGCAAUUUAAGCUUUCAUUUUGUUAUGAUAGUAUUUAUACUACUAUAUAUCAUUUUGUUAGAUACCUUUUGUAUUAAAACAUUUGUAAUAUUUUUGGAUAUUUAAUGUAUCAAACAGUUUUGUGAUGUUUUUGGAUACCUAAUGGUUUUGGAUAUCAUUUUAUAGAUAUUGUUCUUCAAAUAAUUGCAUUAUAUUUAUGAAUUAGAAUUUUGAUUGAUAUCUAUCAUUUGAAUUGUUUUCUUAUUUGGUGUGAAUGAGUUUUAUACAUUGUGAUUAAUAAACUUGAUCAAAAAUUAAUAAUAAUUUAAUUAAAUUAAUUUAAAUACUAUAAUUAUCAAUUAUAUAAUAAAUUUUAAAUUAAAUUAGGAGGAUUUAUUAAUGCAUAAUUAAUUAUAAUACAUAUAUAAUUAUUUUGAAAAUGUCAUAUGAAAUUUAUCUAUAGCAACAUUUAUUAAGUGUUGCUAAUUACUCAAAACUAGCAACAAUUUUUCUAUAUGUUGCUAAAUGAUUCAGCAAUAUGGGCAUAAACAACACUAAACUUUAAAUAUUGCUAAAAGAUCUAGAUGCAUUUCUUGCACAUAUAGCAAACUUUAUAUAUGCCACCAAUUGUAAAUUUUUGUAGUGGUUUGUGCUCGAUAGCAUAGCAAUCGCGGGUUCUCUCUUUCUCUCUUCUCUCUCUCUCAUCAUUCUUCUUCUCCUUCAUUUUCUUCUCUAUAUAUUAUAUAUUACACAUAUGUGAACCCCAAUAGUCCCACAUCGGAUGGGAAUGGGGUGUCCCCAAUAGUCCCACAUCGGAUAGGAAUGGGGUUGUCCCCAAUAGUCCCACAUCGGAUAGGAAUGGGGUUAUCAUUGGAUUAUAAGAGACUUAGACA
rnacentral:lncRNA from 1 species